CUGCCUUGUUGAUAGUGUUGUUAAGAAGGUAGAAACUAGGGCCUGUAGGACCUGCCUUGUUGAUAGUGCUGUUAGGAAGGUAGAAACUAGGGCCUGUAGGACCUGCCUUGUUGAUAGUGCUGUUAGGAAGGUAGAAACUAGGGCCUGUAGGACCUGCCUUGUUGAUAGUGCUGUUAGGAAGGUAGAAACUAGGGCCUGUAGGACCUGCCUUGUUGAUAGUGUUGUUAGGAAGGUAGAAACUAGGGCCUGUAGGACCUGCCUUGUUGAUAGUGCUGUUAAGAAGGUAGAAACUAGGGCCUGUAGGACCUGCCUUG